rnacentral:rRNA from 1 species
CAGCAGCCGCGGGAAUACGUAGGGUGCGAGCGUUAAUCGGAAUUACUGGGCGUAAAGCGUGCGCAGGCGGUUGUGUAAGACAGGUGUGAAAUCCCCGGGCUUAACCUGGGAACUGCGCUUGUGACUGCACAGCUAGAGUGUGGCAGAGGGGGGUGGAAUUCCACGUGUAGCAGUGAAAUGCGUAGAGAUGUGGAGGAACACCGAUGGCGAAGGCAGCCCCCUGGGCCAAUACUGACGCUCAUGCACGAAAGCGUGGGGAGCAAACAGGAUUAGAUACCCCGGUAGUCCCUGUCUCUUAUAC